UAUUCCUAAUUGAAACUAGAAUCAGACAAAAAGCUUAGAGAGAGAAAAUAUAAAAUAGAGAAGUAGAUUAAGAAGAUUGGGAAUGGUGUCUCUGAUUCUUGAGGAAUUCAUGAACGAAGUACAAGGUUUGGGAUAGAAUUUCUCCAAUCGGCUUAUGCUAUCCUUUAAACAUCCAAAGAUUUAGAUCAAUCCAUACUCCCAAAAGAAUAUUAGCUACUCUAGCUAAGUUAUUCUUGAAGUUCAGUUGUUUCAAUAUAGUUUUCACAAGUUAUAUCUACCAUUGUCAAGGUUGAAACUAUGGGUUGUUGGGGAUCAACCUGUUUAAAGGUUUCAAUUCUCAGAUGUAUCUAGAAGUUGUUUCACCCAAAGGAGAUCAAGGUUUCUAACUUCAUUAGGAGAGAGUCUGAAAGGGGGUUUGAUGAGCGGAUAAUUUGUAUUUUCUGGCUGAAAUUGAGGGACCUGAGCAAAAAUCUGAUUCAGAGACUGAAAAGGACUGCAGAUGCUGUUGGAUUCUGACCUCCCUGCACUCGAAGUGGAUUUUCUGGAGCUACAGAAGCCCAAUUGGCGCGCUCUCAACGGCGUUGGAAAGUAGACAUCCUGGGCUUUUCAGCAAUAUAUAAUAGUCCAUACUUUGCCCAAGAUUUGAUGGCCCAAACCGGCGUUCAAAGUCACCUCAAGAAAUUCCAGCGUUAAACGCCGGAACUGGCACCUAAUUGGGAGUUAAACGCCCAAACUGGCACUAAAGCUGGAGUUUAACUCCAAGAAGAGUCUCUACACGAAAAUGCUUCAUUGCUCAGCCCAAGCACACACCAAGUGGGCCCGGAAGUGGAUUUUUAUGUCAUUUACUCAUCUUUGUACACCUUAGGCUACUAGUUAUCUAUAAGUAGGACCUUUUACUAUUGUAUCUAGAGACUUUGGUAGCUAUCUUCAUUUUAUGCUAUCUUAGACCAUUGGGAGGCUGGCCAUUCGGCCAUGUCUAGACCUUAUGCUUAUGUAUUUUCAACGGUGGAGUUUCUACACACCAUAGAUUAAGGUGUGGAGCUCUGCUGUACCUCGAGU